rnacentral:rRNA from 1 species
AUUGAACGCUGGCGGCAUGCCUUACACAUGCAAGUCGAACGGUAACGCGGGGCAACCUGGCGACGAGUGGCGAACGGGUGAGUAAUACAUCGGAACGUACCCAGUAAUGGGGGAUAGCCCGGCGAAAGCCGGACUAAUACCGCAUACGACCUAAGGGUGAAAGAGGGGGAUCGCAAGACCUCUCGUUAUUGGAGCGGCCGAUGGCAGAUUAGGUAGUUGGUGGGGUAAAGGCCUACCAAGCCGACGAUCUGUAGCUGGUCUGAGAGGACGACCAGCCACACUGGGACUGGGACACGGCCCAGACUCCUACGGGAGGCAGCAGUGGGGAAUUUUGGACAAUGGACGCAAGUCUGAUCCAGCAAUGCCGCGUGCGGGAAGAAGGCCUUCGGGUUGUAAACCGCUUUUGUCAGGGAAGAAAUCUUCUGGGUUAAUACCUCGGGAGGAUGACGGUACCUGAAGAAUAAGCACCGGCUAACUACGUGCCAGCAGCCGCCGUAAAAC